GNAGGNUGCAAGCGUNGUCCGGAANNACUGGGUGNAAAGGGGGCGNAGGCGGGCAGGCAAGNCAGGCGNGAAAUAUAUCGGCNCAACCGGUAUCUGCGCUUGGAACUGCAGGUCUUGAGUGAAGUAGAGGUUNGGCGGAAUUCCUAGUGUAGCGGUGAAAUGCGUAGAUAUUAGGAGGAACACCAGUGGCGAAGGCAGCCAACUGGGCUUUUACUGACGCUUGAGGCUCGAAAGUGUGGGGAGCAAACAGGAUUAGAUACCCUGGUAGUCCACACCGUAAACGAUGAUUACUAGGUGUGGGGGGACUGACCCCUUUCCGUGCCGGAGUUAACACAAUAAGUAAUCCACCUGGGGAGU
rnacentral:rRNA from 1 species